GGUGUUUCUGCGGCUUCCAUGCAUCAAUGUUAAUGGCAUAUCUUCUGUCCACACACAAAGUGGCCAAAUCCAUGAGUCCCUACCAGCUGUUGAGAAAUGCACUGCACUUCUUGGCUUCUACAGAUCUGACAGAGAACGGUAUCACCUUGGCUAAAAACCCAGAUUCAAAAGCGCCUUCUCUGCCGGAGUUUCA